AAAAUCAUACUUUUAUGGAUCACUCCUGUAGUUUACUAGAAAAAUUUCUCUGAACAAGAAAAGCACUGGAAAACCACAAAGAGAAGGCUCAGUGUUCCCUCUUGAACUUGAAGCGACAUCUUGGUUUUGUUUCGCUGCUACUGCCUUUUGCCAUUUUGAUGAUCGUUCUUCUUUUCCUUUGGGAGUAAGUGAGAGAGGACACAAUCUAAAUAAU
rnacentral:snoRNA from 1 species